UCCGGAUUGGUGUAGGGGUUAACAUUGCCGCCUCUCAAAUGAUUACAUAAUCAUCGCGGCAGCCCGGGGUUCGAUUCCCCGAUCCGGAA